rnacentral:rRNA from 1 species
GGCUCAGGAUGAACGCUGGCGGUAUGCUUAACACAUGCAAGUCGAACGGGGUUCUUAGGAACUUAGUGGCGGACGGGUGAGUAACGCGUGAGAAUUUGGCUUCAGGUCGGGGACAACAGUUGGAAACGACUGCUAAUACCGGAUGCCGGAAGGUGAAAGGCUUACUGCCUGAAGAUAAGCUCGCGUCUGAUUAGCUAGUUGGUAGUGUAAGGGACUACCAAGGCGACGAUCAGUAGCUGGUCUGAGAGGAUGAUUAGCCACACUGGGACUGAGACACGGCCCAGACUCCUACGGGAGGCAGCAGUGGGGAAUUUUCCGCAAUGGGCGAAAGCCUGACGGAGCAAUACCGCGUGAGGGAGGAAGGCUCUUGGGUCGUAAACCUCUUUUCUCAAGGAAGAAGAAAGUGACGGUACUUGAGGAAUAAGCAUCGGCUAACUCCGUGCCAGCAGCCGCGGUAAUACGGAGGAUGCAAGCGUUAUCCGGAAUGAUUGGGCGUAAAGGGUCCGCAGGUGGUACUGUAAGUCUGCUGUUAAAGAGUCUGGCUCAACCAGAUAAAAGCAGUGGAAACUACAGAACUAGAGUGCGUUCGGGGCAGAAGGAAUUCCUGGUGUAGCGGUGAAAUGCGUAGAUAUCAGGAAGAACACCGGUGGCGAAAGCGUUCUGCUAGGCCGCAACUGACACUGAGGGACGAAAGCUAGGGGAGCGAAUGGGAUUAGAUACCCCAGUAGUCCUAGCCGUAAACGAUGGAUACUAGGCGUGGCUUGUAUCGACCCGAGCCGUGCCGGAGCUAACGCGUUAAGUAUCCCGCCUGGGGAGUACGCACGCAAGUGUGAAACUCAAA